UCCUCGGUGGUAUAGUGGUGAGUAUCUCCGCCUGUCACGUGGAAGGCCUGGGUUCGACUCCCGGCCGGGGAG
rnacentral:tRNA from 1 species